CAAUAGCGUAUAUUAAAGCUGUUGCGGUUAAAAAGCUCGUAGUUGGAUUUCUGUCAAGGACAACUGGUCCGCCCUCCGGGUGAGCACAUAGUUUGGUCUUGGCAUCUUGCUGGAAGCUGUUGCUGCACUUGGCUGUGUGGCGCAGCGUCCAGCACUCUCACUUUGAGGAAAUUGGAGUGUUUCAAGCAGGCACAUGCCUUUGGACACAGUAGCAUGGAAUAAUUAGAUUGGGCUUUUGCUCCAAUUUGUCGGUUUCUGGAGCUGAGGUGAGAAUUAAUGGGGAUUGUUGGGGGCAUCCGAAUUUAGCCGUCAGAGGUGAAAUUCUUGGAUCUGCUAAAGACGGACAACUGCGAAAGCGUUUGCCCAGGAUGUUUUCAUUGA
rnacentral:rRNA from 1 species